GGGGAGCAGGCGCCAUCAAGUCGGGAUGCGGCAGCCCAGACACCGAUAGGGGUAGCCUAAGACACAUCGGCUGGCGAUGCGGGGACUCCGCCGAUAGAGGCCUCGCAGAGCGACAAACAAAGUAGCGGCUAAGCCUGUAGCAUAUCCUACUGGGGUCUCUUCUGGACGGGGAGUUCAACUCUCCCCCGUCUCCACCA
rnacentral:tmRNA from 1 species